rnacentral:rRNA from 1 species
AAGCAUAUAAGUAAGCGGAGGAUAAGAAACUAAACAGGAUUCCCUAAGUAAUUGCGAAUGAACAGGGACAAGCUCAGGAUGGAAAUUGGGGCCCCAGGCCUUGAAUUGUAGUCUGGAGAUGCAUUACCAACUGGGGCGCAGAUGUAAGCCUCUUGAAAUAGAGCAUCAAUGAGGGCGAGAGUCCCGUGUGACAUCUGCAGUCCCCAGUGCACGGUGUGCCUUCUGAGAGUCACGUUCCUCGGAAUUGGAGCGCAAACUGGGUGGUAAACUUCAUCUAAAGCUAAACAUGGCUUCGAGACCGAUAGCAAACAAGUACCAUGAGGGAAAGAUGAAAAGGACUUUGAGAAGAGAGUUAAAAGUGCCUGAAAUUGCUGAAGGGGAAGCGAAUGGGAUCAGUGUUACCUGGCAUGAUUGUCGAACGCUCAUGUGCUGGCUUGCUACUCCAACGCGAGUGUGGUAGUAGGACUCAAGUAUGAUGCGUGCGGUGCCUCUUGCCUGGUGUGCCAACGCCAGAUCGUGGCUGGGGAAACUUGCGGAGACAUGGUAGCUUGCCCAUGGGUGGGUGAAUGUGUCUGCUGGAACUCAACCAUGGAAUGGUGGCUGGCGAAAUGGUUCCAUCCGGCCCGUCUUGAAACACGGACC